rnacentral:rRNA from 1 species
UACGGGGGGUGCGAGCGUUGUCCGGAUUUCUUGGGUUUAAAGGGUGCGCAGGUGGCCCGGUCAGUCAGUGGUGAAAUGCGGCCGCUCAACGGUCGAACUGCCAUUGAUACUGCCGGGCUUGAGGGGAGUGGAGGCCGCCGGAACGGACGGUGUAGCGGUGAAAUGCAUAGAUAUCGUCCAGAACGCCGAUUGCGAAGGCAGGUGGCUGGGCUUCAACUGACGCUGAGGCACGAAAGCGUGGGGAGCGAACAGG